GGAAGCACGGCUGGCACGUUCUUCCGUUUGGAGACAUGGUUGACAAUUUCUCCAUAAUGGGGACACAACUGGCAAUUUUCCUACAGAGUGAGGCAGAUGGCAGUUUUCCUUCAGAGACAUGCAGGCAACAGUUUUGCCCCUGGAGAGAAAAGCCUCGCCGAUUGAGAUGCAGCCAGUAAUUUUUACUAUACAGAAGACACAUCCAAUAAUUUUGCCCAGUGAGAGAAACGGCCAACAAUUUUCCCACAGAGGACAGGAAAAACAGACCAAAAAUUCAUAGUGGGGAGAAGUGAGGAGCAAAUGGGCUGGUGUGACCAAGAAAGACUUAAUAAGAAGCUGAGCCUUAAAUGAUCAAGAAGCACUGGAUAGAUAAGAGGAAUAAUCAUUUAUUAGCCAAGCGGGACUGGUGCCUUUUUGAGAACUGUCAUUCUGGAAAGAUAUUGAUUGAAGGAGGCCUCUGAGCACAUUCUCUCCAGCAGGCAGCCGUAAGGGAGGCGGCUGCAGUCCAGACAAGAUGAUGAGUUGGCAGUGAGCAUCUCGACAGGAGCCUAAUGAAGAAAUCUGGUAGCUUUGUGCAGUUACUCCAAGAGAAGCCCGAACUCCCUGGGGAGCCUCUGCCCAGGUGGAAGAGCCCUCGAGUGGCUAUUAUUAGGGGUGAUUGCUGGGAAGCUGGUUGCCAUGGCACCGCAGAGGCCAGUGCUGAACUCCCAAGCUGCCCCGUUUCCAAGGCUGUCUACAUAAUCACUGCAAUGAGAGGCACAGGCACAGAAAGGGAGAGAGGAGCAGCUCCCCACUGACAGUGAUCUCCCUGCAGAGCAAGGUUCCUGGAGUUUGCAAACAUCGAGUAGUGAUAGUGUUCCAUCUGCCAGGCACUGCGCUAAACUCUUUAUGGAGACAAAGAAAUGAUGCUCAGAGAGUCAUUUGCCCUUGGUCACAGGCUAAGAAGAGGCAGAGCUAGGAGGUAAACCCAACUCUGGCUCUAUGGCAUCUCAUAUAGCAUCAUUUUUCCUCCAGUCCUCUGACUAGAAAGGGUGGCCCCUUCAACCUGGUGCUGAGAACAGACACUGGCGGCCCCCACACCUCUGAGGGCAUGGUUCCAGCAAAUAGAAAUUGGACUGGCAAGGAUUAAACCGCUGGUUUGGGCUUCAUUAGCUAUGUGAUCUCACCAACCACAGAGAAUUAACCAGAGUGGAGCCAUCUCUUUACAGACUUAACACAGUGUACCGGGGCAAUAUGGAGAACAGUCACUGAAUUUAUUGAGCACCUACUACCUGCUGCAGACAUACCAUUAACACAUGGGCUAUCCUUGCCUUCCACAGUCACUCUAGAACUUAAGGCCACUGUCCUCUGAUACAGAGAGAAGAAACAUUUUAUAAUCACUGUAGACAAUAAAGGCUUUAUCUGUUAGCGAGCACUUUUGCUUAAUGACUUGGUCAUGGGGAAGGAGAGACAGGUUGUACUUGGUUCUCAUUUUGCACUUGGUUAGAGAGUAAGAGGCCUUUCCAUCUCCACUGCUGCUCAGGUACUUCCUCCCAGUGUACUCUAGCACUCCCCCAGCAGGUUCUGUAGAAACACAGACCCCAAGGCCUGGGCAGACUCUACCAGAAAAAUACUUGUGUUCCUCUGUGCUCUGCCUAGUACAUGGCUUCCCUGGCUACCUCUCCUACAGGCCUGGGGAGGCAAAGAUGGGAAGUGUUUAUAGGUAUUAUCUAUUGACAACAUUCAACUUUAGACCUCGGUUCAAGCCCCCUCUACCUUUGCCUAGAUCUUUGACUUUGUGUAAACAACAUGCUUUUUCUGGGCCCAAUGUUCUCAUCUGUAACUCCAAGUUUAUGAAUUGUUUUGAUAAUAAAAUACUAAAAAAU